CGCGACUCUUAUUCAAGAAUCCGACUCCUUCAUCAUCGGGUGAUGUAUUUGAUUUGGGACUAGCCAAAGCCAUAUCUGAACUUGCACCACAUGCAGGCACAAAAAAUUGUGCUAAACAUGUACAUGCAGAUUGAAAAAAAAAAUAUAGUGGCCAAGAGUACAAAGCAUUAUUUUGGAAGGCAUAAAAUACAACCUAUGAAGUUGAGUUUAACAAGCAUUUGAAGGAUCUGAAAGAAGUCAAUAAAGCUGCUUAUGAUGACUUCAUGAAACGAGAGCUAGGUUUUUAUCUCUAAUCGAGCUCUCUAGAUCAAACCAUUGAAAUGUGUUGCAAGUUUACUCCUCCUAGAAAGGACAAUGAAGAAACCUCCUAUUUGGAUUUUUUCUUGUCAUUGACGUGUAGAAACGCAAUUGGACUUUAUACUUCGGGCAAUAUAUGUAUCUUCUUAUUACUGAAUUCACAGAUGCUUCACUUGAUGAAUUCAUGUGGAGAUUUUUUA